CCCCAGAGAAGCAUCCAGAAAACAAAGCAGUCUCAUUUUCAAAAGGCUGAAGAGGCCCCUAUGGAGCAUCAACACUCCAUCUCCUCAUUGACCUGAGCUCUCUAUGAUCUUGUUAAAGAGGCCCACGCUGUUUCUAUUCCUGCCUCAUGUGAGGAGCCAUGGGAGCACAUGCCUGGAGCACUGGAUGAAUUUGCAGAAGGAGGCAGAUGUGAGAGUCCAACUCAUCUGACUGCUUCCUGUGCCAGGCCUAAAGCUGCUAAAAGUAAAUGUUGCCUCUAAGGACAGCCGUCUUCUCCCUGCAAACGAGUCCUACGUCUUAGAUACCAGGAACCUUCUUGUCAGGAUUGAGCAGUAACAUCAUGGCCACCUGUCAAUGAGGCAGGAACACAGAACCUCCUGUGAGAAUGGAAGAGAGUCUGUUAGCGAGGUCUGUGGUGUUCAGAACAUUUGGGCCUUGCCCCACCCACACAAACAAGCCAACUGCCCGACAAGAGGACUUCCACAGCCUCUCUUGGAUGAAUUUCUUCCAUCUGUCCUUCAGUGCCCUGUCUUGAGUGAGUAUGAGUUUGUGUCCUCCCACAAUCCUGCCCUCUCCUUAUCCUUCAUGGCCCAGCUGAAGCCAUCAUACCUGCACUACCAUUGUAACUGAUAGCCUGUGGUUUUCUGUCAAUUCUGCAUCUUGGGGUUUUAUACACAGAAAAAACUGAUAGCCUGUGGUUUUCUGUCAAUUCUGCAUCUUGGGGUUUUAUACACAGAAAAGACAAGUGAAUAUACAGCCUGGUGUCCACAGUGGUGUGUAGCCUCUCUUCUACUCCAGCCCUGAAGCUCUGUGAAGGGAAGGACUAUGUCUACUUUGAUCAAUAUUAAAAGCCCAGAGUUUGACAUGUA